rnacentral:rRNA from 1 species
AACGAACGGGCGGCGUGGAUAAGACAUGCAAGUCGAGCGCUGACCACAGGGUAGCAAUAUUCUGUGGUUGGAGCGGCGCAAGGGUGCGUAACACGUGGGUAAUCUGCCAUAAAGAUUGGAAUAACUUGCUGAAAGGUGAGCUAAUACCGAAUGUGACGAUUGGAAGGCAUCUUCCGAUUUUCAAAGCUGGGGAUCCGUAAGGACCUGGCGCUUUAUGAUGAGCCCGCGGCCUAUCAGCUAGUUGGUGAGGUAAUGGCUCACCAAGGCUAAGACGGGUAGCUGGUCUGAGAGGACGACCAGCCACACUGGAACUGAGACACGGUCCAGACACCUACGGGUGGCAGCAGUCGAGAAUUUUUCACAAUGGGCGCAAGCCUGAUGGAGCGACGCCGCGUGGGGGAUGAAUGGCUUCGGCCCGUAAACCCCUGUCAUUUGCGAACAAGUUGGUUAAGUUAAUAGCUGAACCAUUGAUAGUAGCGAAAGAGGAAGGGACGGCUAACUCUGUGCCAGCAGCCGCGGUAAUACAGAGGUCCCAAGCGUUGUUCGGAUUCACUGGGCGUAAAGGGUGCGUAGGUGGUGAGGUAAGUCGGAUGUGAAAUCUCCGAGCUCAACUCGGAAAUGGCAUUGGAAACUACCUUGCUAGAGGGUUGGAGGGGGGACUGGAAUACUUGGUGUAGCAGUGAAAUGCGUAGAUAUCAAGUGGAACACCAGUGGCGAAGGCGAGUCCCUGGACAACUCCUGACACUGAGGCACGAAAGCUAGGGGAGCAAACAGGAUUAGAUACCCUGGUAGUCCUAGCCGUAAACGGUGCAUAUUUGCUGUAAAAGGAAUCGACCCCUUUUGUGGCGUAGCUAACGCAAUAAAUAUGCCGCCNGGGAAGUANGGUCGCAAGAUUAAAAC